rnacentral:ncRNA from 2 species
CUAAAAUCCAGGGGUCGUGGUGCUUUGUUGCAAUGCAACAGAGUUAAACGGGAAACACAAAACGUGUGCUGCCCCCGCAACGGUAAGUAAAUGCCCUCUUUCAGACAUGAAAAGGGUCAGGAGUCUGAAAUAGCCACUGUGCGCGUCAAUUGCAUGGGAAGGCCAGAUUCUGAGAUUUACUAGCCCGGAUACCGGCCAAGACAGGUGGAAUUUU